rnacentral:rRNA from 1 species
GCCCUUUUUUGGGGNCGCAAUACUUCUGGUGGCGACCGGCGCACGGGUGAGUAACACGUAUGCAACCUGCCUUCAACAAGGGCAUAACCCGUUGAAAGACGGACUAAUUCCCUAUGACACAGGGGUCCCGCAUGGGGAUAUUUGUUAAAGAUNUUAUCGGUUGAAGAUGGGCAUGCGUUCCAUUAGCUUGUUGGCGGGGUAACGGCCCACCAAGGCAACGAUGGAUAGGGGAACUGAGAGGUUUAUCCCCCACACUGGUACUGAGACACGGACCAGACUCCUACGGGAGGCAGCAGUGAGGAAUAUUGGUCAAUGGACGCAAGUCUGAACCAGCCACGUCGCGUGAAGGAAGACGGCCCUACGGGUUGUAAACUUCUUUUAUACGGGAAUAAAGUGCCCCACGCGUGGGGUUUUGCAUGUACCGUANGAAUAAGGAUCGGCUAACUCCGUGCCANCAGCCGCGGUAAUACGGAGGAUCCNAGCGUUAUCCGGAUUUAUUGGGUUUAAAGGGUGCUCA